UACAGAGGUGGCAAGCGUUGUUCGGAAUUAUUGGGCGUAAAGCGCGCGUAGGCGGCGCGGUAUGUCGUGCGUGAAAUCUCCCGGCUUAACUGGGAGGGGCCGUGCGAAACUGCCGGGCUUGAGGUCGGAAGGGGAAAGUGGAAUUCCGGGUGUAGUGGUGGAAUACGUAGAUAUCCGGAGGAACACCAGCGGCGAAGGCGGCUUUCUGGUCCGAUACUGACGCUGAGGUGCGAAAGCGUGGGGAGCGAUCCGG
rnacentral:rRNA from 1 species